rnacentral:rRNA from 1 species
GUGAACGCUGGCGGUGGGCCUAACACAUGCAAGUCGAACGGCAGCACAGUAAGAGCUUGCUCUUACGGGUGGCGAGUGGCGGACGGGUGAGGAAUACAUCGGAAUCUACUUUUUCGUGGGGGAUAACGUAGGGAAACUUACGCUAAUACCGCAUACGACCUACGGGUGAAAGCAGGGGAUCUUCGGACCUUGCGCGAUUGAAUGAGCCGAUGUCGGAUUAGCUAGUUGGCGGGGUAAAGGCCCACCAAGGCGACGAUCCGUAGCUGGUCUGAGAGGAUGAUCAGCCACACUGGAACUGAGACACGGUCCAGACUCCUACGGGAGGUAGCAGUGGGGAAUAUUGGACAAUGGGCGCAAGCCUGAUCCAGCCAUACCGCGUGGGUGAAGAAGGCCUUCGGGUUGUAAAGCCCUUUUGUUGGGAAAGAAAAGCAGCAGGUUAAUACCCCGCUGUUCUGACGGUACCCAAAGAAUAAGCACCGGCUAACUUCGUG